UGGUGUGGGAGGCGGGGCCAGAUCUGACCACGCCUCCUGCGGCGCAGUGGGGGGGGGCGCAAAUUUUUUUUUGCGUACCCCUGAAGAUUCCCUUGGGCCGGUCCUGAGAUGAUCUGAUCUGAACUGUAUUACAUGGCAGUGUAGACUCAUAUAAUCUAGUUUAAUCAGAUAAUCUGAGACCCAACCAGGGAUGUCAGGAACUUGGAAGAUCAGAUGUAUUCAGGAAUAAAAUGCUUCUUGUUCAUUCCUAUUUAAAUUGUAACUGAAUGAAAUUGGUUGAGAGAGAAGAAAUUACUCUUUGGAGGCUUAAUAUUUUUAUCUUCCCAAAGCUUUACCCUUAAGCCUUAAUGAGUUAACACCUUAUCAGAUUGUUUUGAUGCAUUUUCUGCACAGCCUAUAGUUAUCUUCUUAAGUCAAAAGCAGGUGGAACUCAUAAAGGUAGACUAUUUUUCUCUGCACUGCUGUACCAUCUGUAAAAUUGAUGGGUUUCGGAAAUGUCAGCCUUAGAUUCGUGUCUGACUGUCUGAUUCCAGGUGAAAUAGAACAGUGGUACAAGGGCUCCGAAUUUUAUAACAGCCAAGUUUUUAGUGGGUUGUCAGUAUCAGUUUUAUUAAGCAUAAUAUUUAUGAUUUAGCACAGUAGUAUAUAAAUAUUUCAGUGUGAAGUAAAAGUAAUCAUUCUGAGCUUUGGAAAGGCAUGAUCUGUGCCAAGGCUCCAAUAAUAUGCCAGCCCCAUUUGACCUUAGCCAUUUUAAUCUACAUAGUUGGAAAAUGUGAGGGCAAGUAACAGUUUGGUUUGGCAAAAAGGAAAGCCCCCCUAUUACUGGGUGGUCUUGAAAAUGGGGCAAGAAUUCAGUCAGUAACUGAAUUAUGACAAAGCAUCUUCCUUUCUCAGUGAAGCAAUUGUUCCAGCAUCUACUGUGCAUCACUCUGAAGUGGCAUCCAUUUCUAUGUGAAAAAUUUCAAAUUCGUUUCCUUGUUCCUGUGGUAAACCUGGGAGCAAGGGCGGCUCAAGGCAUAUGCCAACUAUACGGUUGCAGAAGGCGCAAGAGCCGGCGGAGCCUGGAAGGGCGCAGUGCCGGCCCCCCUCCCUGCUCCCCCGCCCUCUUUGUGCCUUGCCCCUUUAACUGUGUCCCCGGGGCGCCUCUCUCUCUUUUCUGCCCUCCGACGCCCAGAAGCAGCAGCAGCAGCAGCGGGCUCAGCCCUUUGUUUUCCGCUGCUGCUGGGCUUCUGGAUCCCCUGGCGCCCUCCCUCUUCUCCCUCCCUCCUUCCUCUUUUCCCUGCUCUCCCUUUCUGCAAGGAGGGAAUGCCUUGUAGCUAAGCUUUGAAGGUGCAAGGCUAUUUAAUGCUAAUCAAGGUGGCCAAUUGCAACAUUCACACCUGCCUCAGACAAGAGUUCUUUUUCCCACCCUAAACAUUCCACAGAUAUAUAAACCCCACUUGCCUUGUUUCCAACAGACCUCACAUCCACUAAGGGUGCCUGCCAUAGAUGCAGGCGAAACUUCAGGAGAGAAUGCUUCUGGAACAUGGCCAUACAACCCAUGAGAACCGCCAUCUUGAUCGGGCCACGUGCGGGCUGUGGAGGGGGCGGGGCCUACGGGCAUAGAGGGCACGCCCCUUCCAGGAGACCAUGCCCCCUGCUUCUCCUGCUUCUGAAGGAGGCUGAAGUGAAGACUGCCUUGGAAGGCACUGUGAAGAAGUGUAUAAUUAUAUUUUGUUUAUAGAUGAUAUGUGUAUUUGAUUUUGUUUAUACAGCCAGGUUUGGCUAAGUUAAAAUGGUGAGUAUUUAAGUUGACAAUAUGUAUGGGGGAAGGUAGCCAUCUUAGAGUGCUAGAACAGGUUACCAUAGCAACAGGGGCGGAGCCAACCGCCGCCUGGAAAGGAAUAGGGGGAAUAUUUUAAAACCCAGCAGUCUGUGAUUUCCUAGUCACAGGGAAGGAUCUGAUUCUUGUGUGGAGAAUCAGGCUGGCUUAAAUAAAGAGAUUUGAGUCAGAUUUAGGUUGGACCAGACUAGGCAAGUUAGGUGAUUUGUCUAGGGUCAGUUAUAGAAUCUGUGGAUUAGGGAACAUUAAUCCCAAGGGAUCCAGGAGGAUCAGGGUUUAGUGUAAUCCAGAGAAAGAAGUAUUUUUGAAAGUUUAACCACCUCAUAACCGUUUGUAACCAUUAAGCGAAGUGCCUUUACCAAGUUAUCUGAAACCAUCAAGCUCUGUAGCUGCAAUAAACCUGUUUUGAUUUUAUUCUAAUCAAGCCUCUGUCAUACUCUCAUAUUAAGUUAAGUAACAUCAACACCCGAAGUGGAACAAAUAGAGAAAGCUUAAAGGAACCAGUGCCAUCUGCCUGACGUCUCUCCAUUGGUGGCAGCGAAGAAGAUAGUCAACUAAAUAAUUAAUUAACAUCAUCUCUCACAAAACAUCUUUAUUAAGUGGUGGUAUCUGUGUGUGUGUGUGUGGAGGAUCAGAGGGUUCCAUCUCUGACACACAUUCCUGUCAGACACCUCACCUCUGUACAUAUUGGUGGCUAAGCUGAGGGAUUCUAAAAGGGAUUCCAUCCUCUGCCACCUCAGCUCCUUACAUAAAUUGGUGGCAGCGGUGGGAUUCAAAGGGGAUUCCAUCCUCUGUCACCUCAGCUCUCCACAUAAAUUGGUGGCAGCGGUGGGAUCAAAAGGAUUCCAUUCCCUGUCACCCUCAGCAUCUCUACAGGCACUCUCAGUGGUUGCGAGGUCUGUUGGAAACAAGGCAAGUGGGAUUUAUAUAUCUGUGGAAUGUUAAGGGUGGGAAAAAGAACUCUUGUCUGAGGCAGGUGUGAAUGCUGUGAUUGGCCACCUUGAUUAGCAUUAAAUAGCCUUGCAGCUUCAAAUCCUGGCUCCUUUUUGCCUGGGGUAAUCCUUUGUUGGAAGGUGUUAGCUGGCCCUGAUUGAGGAUUCCCUGGUGCCCUCCCUCUUCCUCCCUCCCUCCUUCUCCUCUUCCUUCUUCCUCUUUCCCUCCCAUCCUUCACUCCUUCUCUCCUUCCUUCCUUCCUUCCUUCCUUUGUCCCUUCUUUCUCUUUCCUCCCUCUCUCCCUCCCUCCUUCCUUCCUCCUCUCCUUUCUACUGCACCGACAUUCAUUGACCGUUUUCCCUGACUCUGUGGUGAGUUUAUGGCUAUGUUCCAGAAGCAUUCUCUCCUGACGUUUCGCCUGCAUCUAUGUUAGGCAUCCUCAGAGGUUGUGAGGUCUCUUGGAAACUAGGCAAGUGGGGUUUAUAUAUAUGUGGAAUUUUCGGGGUGGGAAAAAGAACUCUUGUCUGAGGCACCUUGAUUAUCAUUAAAUAGCCUUGCAGCUUCAAAGCCUGGCUGCUUUCUGCCUGAGGUAAUCCUUUGUUGGGAGGUGUUAGCUGGCCCGGACUGUUUCCUGUCUGGAAUUCCUCUGUUUUCUGAGUGGUGUUCUUUAUUUACUGUCCUGAUUUUAGAGUUUUUAAAAUACUGACGUUUCGCCUGCAUCUACUAACUUUGUCUCCAUUUCAAGUAAGUCACCCCAGCCUUGCCAUCAGAGUUGUCAGAGGUUGAGAAGAUGGUCUGCUUAUCAUUCUCAUGCUCAGCAGAGGGCAAGGACCAUAGUUAUCAUGCUGAGCAUAUUCUCCAAAAUGCCAAAGCCUAGUUACUGUAGCCCUAUUUAAGCUUUUAUCUGAGUAAGAAGGCUAAAACUACCAUAUUUACAUCAAUCUCAGCCACACCUUUUUUGCCUAAAUGACUAUGCCAAAAUUGAGGAGCACAUUACAUUUGUGUAAUAUGGUAAAGACAAAUGGGUUGCUGUGAGCUUUCUGGGCUAUAUGGUCAUGUUCCAGAAGCAUUCUCUCCUGAUGUUUUGCCUGCAUCUAUGGCAGGCAUCCAUAGAGGUUGGAAAGUAAUCAAGUGGGGUUUAUAUAUCUGCGCAAAGUCCAGGGUGGGAGAAAGAAAGAACUCUUGUCUGUUGGAGGCAGGUAUAAAUGUUUCAAUUGCCCCCCUUGAUUAGCAUUGAAUAGACGUUCAGCUUCAAAGCUUGGCUGCUUCCUGCCUGGGGGAAUCCUUUGUUGGGAUGAUUUAUUAAUAUUAUUAUUAUCAUUAUUAUUAGGCCUUGCUCCAGGGAAGGUUUUUCUGUUGUGGCUCCCUACCUAUCUAUCUACCUUGCCACAUAUUCUCCACAUUGUGUGUAUGUGUAUGUAUAUACAGUAGAGUCUCACUUAUCCAACAUAAACAGGCCGGCAGAAUGUUGGAUAAGCGAAUAUGUUGGAUUAAGGAAAAGCCUAUUAAACAUCAAAUUAGGUUAUGAUUUUACAAAUUAAGCACCAAAACAUCAUGUUAUACAACAAAUUUGACAGAAAAAAAUAGUUCAAUACGCAGUAACGCUAUGUAGUAAUUACUGUAUUUACGAAUUUAGCACCAAAAUAUCACGAUGUAUUGAAAACAUACAAAAAUGCAUUGGAUAAUCCAGAACGUUGGAUAAGGGAGUGUUGGAUAAGUGAGAUAAGAUAUACUGGUAUAUAUAUAUAUAUAUACACACACACACAUACAAACACAUAUGCAAGGACCAUAUGUGACAUAUAAAUAUGUGUGUGUGUGUGUUUAUAUUCUAUUCACCUCUACCUUCUAUCUUUUAUUUUUCAGUGAUUGGUUUGGGGGGGGGGAGGGGCACCAAAAAUACUGCUUACUUACACUUGCAAAUUACCUAGGGCCGGCCCUGCCUGGGAGUAAGUAUCAAAUGUCAUGAAUUUGUGAAAAUAAACUUUUUAUGCAGCCAAUUACCUUGGUGUUGAACAGUACUUUUCACUGCAGUUCCUUUCUCUGGUAUAUAAAGUACUGUAUAUAAAUAAGAUUUUUCCCCUAAAUACGAACUGGGAAAUAGAAUAGCAACAGAGAAUGAUAAGAAAUUCAUUUGAGUUAAUUUUCAAUAAAACAUUACAAAAAUGUUUGUACCCUGGAAGGAGAGAAAUGAAGCAUUUUUUUUAAUGUGAGGGAAAAUUAAAAUGGUAGGCUUGCUCAUCCAAACCUGUAGGUUUGACAAUUUUGAGGUUAUAGUUCUUAAAGGUCUGGCUUUGAAUCUCCAUGCAGUCACAUUGGUGCUGUAUUAUGUUUGUCACCCCUUUUAUAAUUUUUUCUCCCUGGCAGGUUCCUUCCCUUUAACAACUCUGUAACAGGUGUAAUAUAUUUUAUUUAGACAUAACAUAUUUGUUUCCAAACUCUUGCAUUGAAAUCCAGCUUUUCGCCUUUUAGAAUGUUUUUAGGGAAUGUGCUUAUUAUUUGAUCUACAUUUGUUCUACAUGUCCUGAGGAAUUCUAGUUGACAAUGCACCAUGGUUAGGGACAUCAGUGCAGGGAAGGGAUCCCUAAAUCUUAAGUUUUGGCUAUGAGAUUUUUAUGGGAUGCUCUUGACCUAGCAACUCUGAUGUGGAAAUAGGUGUUAAUGAGCACAUUAGACAUUUAAAAAAAACACAAAGAAAGACAAAAUAGUUCAAGUCAAUGAACUAUGUUCAGAUUUCUUUGGCAGUAAUCUAUUUCUAUAGUUUCUCUCUUCCUAUAUCAAUCCAUUUAGGGAAGCAGGCAAACCUCUGGCUCAGUUCCUUUGUCUGAAGGAAAAUGUCAUCUAUAGACUACAAAGUGACUUUUGCAUUUUCAGCACAGAUAUAUCCCUAAGCUUAUUCUCCCGUACUGAAGAAUAUUGGAAAUGAAAGUGAAUGGGUAAAUCAGAGUUGACAUGAAUCCCCCAGAUAACAGUUUCCAAGGUUGCGUUUUCAUGCAUGAUUUGUUAUCACAUUAUUCAACUGAAAAUCCAAUUAAUGGAAAGAACAAAAAACUUUAAUAUGAGCACUAUUUGCUAAUAUAAACUAUGUUUCAAAAGAGUGCUAUUGAACAAAAAUGUUUACAACUAAGCAUAUCUAUAGAGUUAGGAGAACAAUUGUGAAUAUAAAUAUUUCUGUUUGGUGUGCUUUCCACUAGAAAGGAUCUUUGAGCCAAGAUCACUUGCUCGAAGAAAGAGGCCCGAAGUAAAUGCAUGUGCCUCACCAAUCACUUCUAGUUUUGAAAAUAAAAAUACAGUAGAGUCUCACUUAUCCAAGCUAAACGGGCCGGCAGAAGCUUGGAUAAGCGAAUAUCUUGGAUAAUAAGGAGGAAUUAAGGAAAAGCCUAUUAAACAUCAAUUUAGGUUAUGAUUUUACAAAUUAAGCACCAAAACAUCAUGUUAUACAAAACAUUUGACAGAAAAAGUAGUUCAUUACACAGUAAUGUUAUGUUGUAAUUACUGUAUUUAUGAAUUUAGCACCAAAAUAUCACAAUAUAUUGAAAACAUUGACUACAAAAAUGGCUUGGAUUAUCCAGAGGCUUGGAUAAGCGAGGCUUGGAUUAGUGAGACUCUACUGUAUUCUUAUAGAAUCACAUACGUUGCCAGGAAACAAAACUGGGAUGAAAAUUGGGGGUAAAAAAUGGUGAUUUGGAGUGUAGGAAAUUAAAAAGUGGACUGUAGCCUUAUGGGGUUCUAUUGUAGAUGUUGCCUUACCAGUUACCGUAUUUAUAAAUGUUGUUCCUGUAAAUGAUGAGAGAGAUGUGUUUGUCCAAAUGAGUUGCUCAGCUUGUUUUUAGUUGAUUAGAGUUUUACAUACUUGGUUUUAGUUGAUUAGAUUUUUAUUAUGCUAUAAGUGUGAUUGAUUUCGAUCUACCACGUCUAUUUAAUUACUUACCUUUUUGGCUGGUUACUAUAAGUUUGUAUUGACUUGUUUGUUUACUAGUUUGAUUUAUUUUGUUUUGUUUAUACUGCUUAUUAUGGCAUUAAAUGUUGUGAAUGCGCCUUUGGAGACUGAAUGAUAGUGGUGGGAUCAGGAGAGGAAGGAAAAACCCUUGCGAGGAGGGCUCAUUGGAGGAUUUGUUUAGGAAAAGGGUCAGGGAGACUGAUGGGGAGUCUUCUGAGGAGGAUUCAUGUGGGGAUCCUGAGGUGGAAAUGGAUGCUGGGGAACAGGUGUUAACAGAGGAAUUGGGCACGGACUGGGCACGGGCACCGGAGAUGCUUGGGGACGAAUCGGGGCCCAUGGAUAAUGCUGAUGCUGGGGAAGCUUGGGUGUCUUCAGAAGCAGAUCCCACUUAGUCGGCUUGGAGGAGUGGGAGGGGGUCCACAGGUGUGGAUAGAGUUGGGCAUGGGUAGGAUGAUUGGGACUUUGAUUAGGAAUUCGGAACACCUGACCCAAGGGCAUUGGCUGUGUGGAGUUCUGAUUCAGAUUAAGAAGUUGAGACACCUGCUCUUUGGGCGUGGAUAGUUUGGAAGCCCAGGGAGACCUGGAUAUAUUGGGGUUGUUUGGCCAUUAUACCUUGCGUGUGGCAAGGUGUUGCUGGGCGCCAUUGAGUUUCCUGUGUGUGUUACUGAAGACUGGACUGGGACUUCGCAAUGGAUGUAAAUUUAAUCUGGGUUAUUCUGUAACGGAGGGCUGGAAUUGUGUGGGUUUUCCUGGACUGCAAUGUUAUUACUAUUUUGUAUUAGCUGCUGUUCGCCCUUGUUGCUUUGGCUCUCUGUGCCAUUUUGUGUUGUGACCUUCUUGGAUGACUUCAACCUCUUGGACCUUGGACUGGAACUUGACUCGGCUUUGCUCUUCGCUCUCAAUCCGUGGCUUGGCAUCGUUCUCUAUUCCAUGGCUGUCUGCUGUUGCUGACUACUACCUUCACUCCUGAUACCGACGCUGUCUGCUUAUCCCGACUUUGGACCGGCUUGACGACGCUUUCCCGCUCUGCUCCUUUAACUCUUGGUUUGGUGUACGUUCCAGCAGCGGUUGCAGCGAGCUCGCCAGCAUCUCGCUAUUUCACUGGCUUUGCUGCUCUCAACUGGGAGUUCCCUAGCUCAGUUUGGGCAUUUGUUUGUUUUGAACUCCUUUUUGUACUUUUGAGUUUUGGAAAAGGUUUGUGGGCUUCAAUACUGCUUGCUUUAGUUCAUGCCUCCGUUUUUCAGCCCAUUGUGAACUUUUGGGUCAAGUUCUAGAAUUUUAAAUUUAACCUGGAUUAUAUCUCUGGCUAAUCCGGAUUAUUUGCCAGUUCUUGUUUUUUGGGGUUUUUCCCUCUUGUUCUACACUGAAAGUUAAGUGUUUUAAGUCUUUUUAGUUUGUUGAGCUAUUUUUUGGACUGUUGCUUUAAUAAACUCUAUUUUGCUCUCUAAUUGGCGUCUGACUUUUGACAUUAAAUGUUUGCCAUCCUUUGUUGGAAACCGCCCUGAGCCUCCCUGGGGAGAUAGGGCAGGUUAUAACUAAAAAUUAUUACUAUUAUUAUUAUUGUAUGAUUUAUCAUUUGAAAGUUAUUUGCAAGUCCUAUUGAUAAGGUACACAUCUGUACAAAAUCCCAUUGUUAGAGACAGAAAUUCAGAUAAUAUAUACUUAAUUUAGUAUAUAAAUUGGGAUGGUCUUUUCUAAUUUCCUCAGCAAAAAGAAUCAUAUGCAUCACAGAGCUUUCUGCAGCUUGUUUCCUUACAGUACCUAGGGUUUCUUUAGACCUUUAAAGCCCUACAUGUUUUUUGUCCAGGUUACCUACAGGAUCACCUUCCCCCAUACAAUCUGCCCCGAACACUGAGGUUCUCUGGGGGAUGGCUACUCCAACCAGCCAGAACCCGGCUGGCAACCAUCACUCAGAGGACUGUUUCAUUGGCCGCCCCAAGACCGUGGAACGACCUGCCAAAAAGAGCUCCAACAGCUAAAUGAACUGUCAGAAUUUAAAAAUAAUCUAAAGACCUACCCAGCCAGUUUUGAUCAUUAAUUUUAAACUCGUGUCCUGCGUUUUAAUCUCUAUUCUGUGUAUUUUAAUAUGUAUUUUAUAGAAAUACAUUUCAAUAUGUGUAUUUAUAGGAACUUUACAAUGUUUAUGUGUUUUAACUAUUCUGUAACCCGCCUCAAGCCACAGGUAGGGAUGGGUAAGACAUAAAACUAUUGUUGUGGUGGUGCUGGUGCAUAUACACUUUAUAAUGAAUGCAGUUUGACACUGCUUUAACUCAAUGCUAUAGAAUCCUGGGAUUUGCAGUUUGGUGAAGCACCAGCAUUCUGGUAGAGAAAGCUUAAGAUUUUGUAAAACUAAAACACAGUAUUAUAUUGCACUGAGCCAUGGUAGUUAAAAUGGUGUUGAACUGCAUUAAUUCUCAAAUGUAGACAUAUUUAUUUAUUUGCAGUAUUUAUAUUCCGCCCUUCUCACCCCGAAAGGGACUCAGGGCGGAUCACAUUGCACACAUAUAAGGCAAACAUUCAAUGCCGUAACAUAGAACAGAGACAGAGACAGACACAGGCACGGGCUGGCCUCGAACUCAUGACCUCUUGGUCAGAGUGAUUUGUUGCAGCUGGCUGCUAACCAGCCUGCACCACCGCCCUGCCUAUCCCUGAUUUAACUCAUGUAUGCUAUCAGAAAUCCACUAUUAGAUGACAAGGAAGCAAUUUCAUUAACAAAUUAUGGUGAAGCAAACUGUCAGCUGGGGAGACUUGAGCUCCCCACCGUGUUUACACACUUUGGGGUCUCAAAAGUGGCCCUUAUUUUAUAUGUGAUUGCUUUUUUGUUUGUGGUUCUUCCAAAGUUCUACAUUGCUUAAAGCUUGAAUUUAUCAUCUUAAAUGCCUUUAAGAAUAAUAAGAGUUAAGAGUGUAAGGGAAUAUGUUGGGCAUCUGGGGAGCUAACCAAUUAAUAGAGAUAAUCAGCAGGAAUCUCCUUUUUUUUAAGAGAGAGAAAGCUCUUUGAAUUGCUUUCUGGGGAUAUGUUUCCUUACUUUAAAGAUUGAAACUUUGUAGGAUUUCCCGUCUUGAGAAAAUGACAGCAUAAAAAAAACUGGGCAAAUGGACAAGGCUACAACUUCAGCAGAUUCCUAAAAACAGUCCCAAGUGGUUAACUUCCAAAAAUAGUAUUGCAGGCUCUAGAGGUCUCACUGGUGUCAAGAAAAGCCUUACAAGGAAAGAAGAAAGAGAAUAUUUGUAUUCAUAUUCCUGAAGUAAUAUAUUGCAGUAGAAGGUGUAUUUUCUAGUAAAAAUUACGCUUUGCUUGCAGAUAAGUGAUACUAGGUCACAAUUGAUAUUUAAUGUAAGACGCUACCUUUGAUGUAAGAUUUGCCUCUUGAUGCACUUUAUUUCAGCAUUGUACAAUAUAGAUGUUAGUAAGAAGGCCAGGUAUGCUGUUUGACUUCCAUAUGGUAAUGAGGUGUGUGGGUAAAGUGGCAUUAAUGAGGUUUGCAUUAUUUUCAAACAAAUUGUAGAACUUCCAUAUCAAAGUAAGAGGUUUUAUAGUCACACUUCAUAAAACUGGUCUAUUGUAUUGCUGGUGUCUGUAUGGCUUAUGCCCUUUGCAAUAAUUGCCUUUUACUAAUUUGCAUCUGGAGCUAAAAUUGCAUGAACCCAUCUUAAUUAUCUUUUGUAUGCUGAUGCAGAACAGACUGUCUGCAGGAGUUUCAGAUUACUGUCAGUGGCCUCAAACUGCACUCUUUGGUUGUAGAUAAAAUUAUUUAACUUUAAGGGUAAUUACUUCAUUUUUUUAAGGAAAACAAAAUGAGAUACAAUGCUGGUACGGCAAUGUUUGACUGUACCCCAAAGGAGGUGACCUCUUGUAACAAAUUAAGAAAUCUGAUAAAACCAAGAGCCAAUUUGACAACACUCUCAUAGCUUUGGGAGCCAAUUUUAUAAUACUGUAUAUGCUGGACCGGAGUACAGCAGGAGAAAUGUUUGGCACUAGUUAUGUUAUGUAUAUCCAUUUUAUAGAUUCCUUUCCUUCUAAAAAUAAACUCUUUGAAGAAGGAGAGCAAACAUAUCUACAAAUGAGAUAAUCCAGUUAAACCAGCCAAGCAAACAAGAUAUUUUUAAAAAGGAAAAAAGAACCUUGUACAUGAAACAGGAAAUUGAUAUAUUCAGAUAACUCAAUGUAUACUUAAGACAAAAUUCUCAGAAGUCAUCAAGAGAGCUAAUUCUGAGAAUAACAGAAAGCCUACAAGAUCAAAUUGAAAUGGGGUGCAUAAAGAGCAAUGUUGGGCUGAGGUAACUAUUUUAUGUUGUAUGUUGUUCACCAAACUGUAUUUUUAGUUUGCACAGUUAACUGACCAGUAGUUGUAAAAACUUGGAAUACUACAUAUUAAAAGAACUUGAGUCUAAUGCUGCAAAUUAUUCACACUGAGGUCCAAAUUAGUGGCACAUUUGCUCGCUCAAUUAAAUCAAGAGUUAAAGUGUGAUUUAACUUGUUUGAAUCCAACCUAAUGUAUUGUGCCCUGUGAAGACCUUCACUGUUUAUCCCUAGUUAAGCCCUUUUUAGUCAGAAGGAUUAAUAUUUUAUAUACAGUUUCUGGAGAGUCAGUCUAGAUAGUCUCUUUGUAUUUGAAGCCUCUGUCACCCUGCCCCUUUAAGAAUUCCCUCAGGGGCGGAGCCUCAGGCAAGGCACUUCUCUUUCUUGUAAUAGUCACCCUUUCAUGACUGGAAGAUGAAGAGGGAGGAAGGCUGAAAAGUCUACAUAAUAGCACAUCCAGUCAAAGCUGUAUGAGCUGUAUUCAAAUCCAGUCAGAGUUAAAUAUUGAGACCAUUUUCAUAGAAUCAUAGAAUCAUAGAAUAGUAGAGUUGGAAGAGACCUCAUGGGCCAUCCAGUCCAACCCCCUGCCAAGAAGCAGGAAAUCGCAUUCAAAGCACCCCCGACAGAUGGCCAUCCAGCCUCUGCUUAAAAGCCUCCAAGGAAGGAGCCUCCACCACAGCCUCUACCACAGCCCGGGGGAGAGAGUUCCACUGUCGAACAGCCCUCACAGUGAGGAAGUUCUUCCUGAUGUUCAGGUGGAAUCUCCUUUCCUGUAGUUUGAAGCCAUUGUUCCGCGUCCUAGUCUGCAGGGCAGCAGAAAACAAGCUUGCUCCCUCCUCCCUAUGACUUCCCUUCACGUAUUUGUACAUGGCUAUCAUGUCUCCUCUCAGCCUUCUCUUCUGCAGGCUAAACAUGCCCAGCUCUUUAAGCCUCUCCUCAUAGGGCUUGUUCUCCAGACCCUUAAUCAUUUUAGUUGCCCUCCUCUGGACGCUUUCCAGCUUGUCAACAUCUCCCUUCAACUGUGGUGCCCAAAAUUGGACACAGUAUUCCAGGUGUGGUCUGACCAAGGCAGAAUAGAGGGGGAGCAUGACUUCCCUGGAUCUAGACACUAUUCCCCUAUUUUAGAGAUAGUUGAACACCAUUCACAAAAGAGACAAUAAGAAGAAAUAAAGAUUCAAGAGCCUCAGUUUGGCCAGAACUGUGUCUAUCUUUCAAAUACUUCACCUCUCCUCAUAAAGACUUUGUAAUGAGACUCAGGAGGAGAGAAACUCUAAAAUUCUUGUCAGUUAAUAAAUUCCAGUUUGAUUCAACUAUAUAGUCUCCAAUCUGUUCCCUGUGCAGCCAAUUCACCUUCCAAGUAGUUAGCAUAGUGUGGGGGCAGAACAUAAUGUGUAGGACAGAUGCACAAUACAUCAAAUAAUUCUAAUGAAUUCAGCUCGAGAUGUUGCAGAUCACAUAUAUGUUGCCUGAGGUUAGCCCUAUGAUCUAACAAAACUCUCUUUUAGAUGGUUGAUCUGGGACUGGGAUAAAUAGCAAAUAUGCUUAAUAUAUGACAGCAGAUAACAAUGAGCAGAAUAAUAGUUCAUGUAACUUCCAGUUUAUUUUUCCAAACGAACUACUGCAGUUUUCAGAUGCCCCCAAGUGGAAAUUAGAAGUAUACUGAUUUGGACUGAUUCUAGAAAUGUUCUCACUAUUAUUGGUUGAAAGCAAGUGCCCAAUAAAUGUUCUUAGUAUUCAAUCUGCUUUGUGUGUAGAAAUGCUAUUGUGUAUUGCAAUUCUUUAAAACUGCAUUUCUCAAAAAGGAUUUUGUAUUGAGAAUAUUUUGCACUUCUCUUCUGGACUGAAUGAAUCUCGUGGACUUGAGGCAUUUUAACUUCUGUCAUCACCAUGAUCAAAAUCUCCUUCUCUUAAUGUAUACCCUGGCAUUUCCCCAUGAUUGGGACUCAUGACCACAUAUGAAUUAAAACAAUUACAGUAUGGUUAAAAACAUAUCAAAAUCCAGCAUUAAAAUACUGUAGAAUUAAGCUAUUAUUUAAAAAAAAAUACAUUUCAUAACGAUAAACAGUACAAUUAAAACAAUACAGCAAUAAUUAGCAUCCUCUUACAAGUAUUUACCAUUAAAACUUGAAUUCAAAAGCCUAUGUGUGUGUGUGUGUGGGGGGGGGGGGGGGUUCCCCUGCUGGCAGAACUGUGGUCGGAUGGUUUUAUUUUGAUGUUGACUUUUAUUACCUGACUUUUUAUUAUUAUUGGCCAUGCUGGCUUUGGUUGAUUUUGGGCUGCGUUGGUUGAUUUCGGCUGCAUCAAAAAGAGUAUGGUGUCUAGAUUGAGUAAAGUCAUGGUGCCUUUCUUUUCUGCUUUGGUUAGACCUUACCUGGAAUACUGUGUCCAAUUCUAGGCAUCACAGUUCAAAAAAUAUUGACAAGCUGGAAGGUGUCCAGAAGAGGCACAUCAAAGUGCCCCUGACAGAUGGCCAUCCAGCCACUGUUUAAAAACCUCCAAAAUGAAGCUUCCAUCACACUCCCAGACAGCAAGUAUAACUGCUGAACAGUUCUUAUGGUCAGGAAGUUCUUCCUAAUGUUCAGGUGGAAUCUCCUUUCCUGCAGUUUGAACCCAUUGCUCCAAGUCCUAGUUUCCAGGGCAGCAGAAAAUAAGCUUGCUCCCUCUUCCUUAUGACAUCAUUUCACAUAUGUAUACAAGGCUAUCAUGUCUACUCUCAACCUUCUCUUCUGCAGACUAAACAGACCCAGCUCUUUAAGAUGCUCAGCAUAAGACAUGGUCACCAGACCUUUGAUCAUUUUAGUUGCCCUCCUCUGGUGCUGAAGGAGAUAUUUUCUGUUUCCAGAUCGUUGUUCUUUAUGGAAUUGGGGAGAAAAUAAGAGGCAGGUAUAGCUCCAUCGAGACUAGACUCCAAAACAUGUGAAACGUCUUCCCAUUGUCUCAACUGCCACUGUCCUGUGUGUGAGAGAAGCAGAGACAAGCACAGCUCCAUCCUGUUUGGGCCCAGAAGAAGAUGAAAACUGUCCGGAGGGAGAGAAGAAGAGUCCCAUCCCAUACUGCCAUUUCCUUUUUUGUGUGUGUCAUGCCUUAAUUAGAUUGUAAGCCUGAAUGCAGGGAACUUUUUUCUUCUUCUUUUACUUGUAAAGGACCAAGUGCAGUAUUGACAUUAAAUAAAAUAAAUCCUAGAAGGGAAUAUCAUUCCCAGCUUUUGGCAUGACUGACUUAAAGGCUGAAUAGCUGCUUAUCCAGAAACAUUAGCCUCCUCCCAUUCCAAAUACAAAGAUGCAUUUUGCUAUGGGUGGGAAACUGGACUUAUCAAACCAGUCUGUAAAAGUUUUUGGGAUUCUUUCCUUUGCAGCAUUUGAAACAGUAUUUGCUUCAACUUGAUAGCACAGGGACACAUUUACUACUGAAUUGCACUUUAAAGCACUUCCUUGUUUUAGUAUUUGCUAAAUGCAUUUUUAAAAUUCCUUGAUAAGAUGAAACAGGAUAUAGUACAGUAUGUAGGUUACAGUGUGCAGUAUUUGAGUUUCAGAGCAGAUUUUUGAUGGCUGUAAAAUACAUCUUGCAUAUUCUGAAGAUUUUGGAGAACCAGAAUAUAUGAUCUUUCUCAUAACUAUUUAGUUACAUUUUGCCCACUUGAAAUUUAAUGCAACAGUAGAGUUGGGGAACCUGUGAUUUUGAGAUGUUGAAGUUUCCUAAUUUCCAAUCUCUCCCUGGUGAGAUUUCCAUUCAGUCUUCUGGUGGUAUGGCCAAUGAUGAUGAAAGCUGUAGUGCAUCAACAUCUGGAAAGUCACAGGUUUCCCACUUUAUCCUGAUCUCAUUAUUUAACAUUUACAAUGGGUCCUUGAUAUCCAUGAGAGUUCAGUUCCAAGACUCCCAUGGGUACCAAAAUCCAUGGCUGCUCAAGUCCCAUUGUACUGUAAUGGCAUAGUAAAUGGGUGUUUAUCAUAGAAAAUGAAAAGAAAUCAAGGCUUCUUUUUUAGAUUUCUUUUGACGAUUUUCAAGCUGAGGAUGGUUGAAUAUGUGUAUACAUGGAUAUGGUGGGUUAACUGUAUAGGAAACGAACCAGUUCAUAUUUUGGACUUAAACACUUGGUUGUCCUCUGUGCAAAAACAGUGAGGAGAUCAGAUGAUAUCUUCUGCCACUUUUAACCUAAGUAUGCUUUAUAGUUGCAUUUAGCCUGGAGACUGCAGCUAGAAUAGGGAUUCAAUCUAUUCUAGGUGAAAUUACACUCCUCCUGAAAAUAUAGAUGUGAAGUUUGGAUGUACUCCUGUACUCGUCUUUGAACUUUAAUGCCCAUGAGUCUGCAUUAGCCAGACGUGGUUUCACACAUUAAAAGCUUGUGUACUAACUGUGCCUUUUCCUUGAGACUCUAAAUCUGGCCAUGGUAGUAAAUGCCUUUAAUAUUUCCCAUUUGUAUUGUAACACGCUCUGCAUAUGGCUGCCUUUGAAGAGUUUGGAAACUUUAGCUAGUUCAAAAGAGCUGCAGCCAAACUUUUAACUAGAGCAGGUUACAGGGACCUUAUUAUUUUCUUGUUAUCAUAGUUGCACUGGCUGGCAAUUUGUUAAAUUAGUGUCAAACUACAUUGAUUCUAAAGUGUAGGUACAUCCUGGAUCACAUUUAAUCUGGAUGUGGCCUUGGAACUGUAAGAAUAGUAACUCUGAAAGGAGAUUUUGAUACUGCAUUUGAAUCAUCCCUUACAAAAUAGUCUGAUAAGAUAGGGAGAAUAUAUACUUGUACAGGCAUGAAUGUGUAUACCUGCAUAAUUGUGUCUGCAUUCACAAUGUGUGUGCAUCUGUUGUAUGACACACACAUAUGCACAUAUAUAUGUAAAGAAAAAAAUGUAACCCAUAUAUAUUAAAGUACUUCUAAGAUUGUAGAAAAA